rnacentral:rRNA from 1 species
GAUGAACGCUGGCGGCGUGCCUAAUACAUGCAAGUCGAGCGAACGGACGAGAGGCUUGCUUCUCUGAUGUUAGCGGCGGAUGGGUGAGUAACACGUGGAUAACCUACCUAUAAGACUGGGAUAACUUCGGGAAACCGGAGCUAAUACCGGAUAAUAUUUUGAACCGCAUGGUUCAAAAGUGAAAGACGGUCUUGCUGUCACUUAUAGAUGGAUCCGCGCUGCAUUAGCUAGUUGGUAAGGUAACGGCUUACCAAGGCAACGAUGCAUAGCCGACCUGAGAGGGUGAUCGGCCACACUGGAACUGAGACACGGUCCAGACUCCUACGGGAGGCAGCAGUAGGGAAUCUUCCGCAAUGGGCGAAAGCCUGACGGAGCAACGCCGCGUGAGUGAUGAAGGUCUUCGGAUCGUAAAACUCUGUUAUUAGGGAAGAACAUAUGUGUAAGUAACUGUGCACAUCUUGACGGUACCUAAUCAGAAAGCCACGGCUAACUACGUG